UACAGAGGGGGCAAGCGUUGUCCGGAAUUAUUGGGCGUAAAGAGCUCGUAGGCGGUUUGUUGCGUCGGCUGUGAAAUCCCGAGGCUCAACCUCGGGUCUGCAGUCGAUACGAGCAAACUAGAGUGUUGCAGGGGAGACUGGAAUUCCUGGUGUAGCGGUGAAAUGCGCAGAUAUCAGGAGGAACACCGGUGGCGAAGGCGGGUCUCUGGGCAACAACUGACGCUGAGGAGCGAAAGCGUGGGGAGCGAACAGG
rnacentral:rRNA from 1 species